ACGCUGGCGGCACGCCUAACACAUGCAAGUCGAACGAAGUAGCAAUACUUAGUGGCAGACGGGUGAGUAACAUGUAGGUAUCUGCCCUUUGGCCUGGAAUAACACGAGGAAACUUGUGCUAAUACCGGAUAAGUCUUUACGGAGAAAGCUUUAUGCACCAUUGGAUGAGCCUGCACUUGAUUAGUUUGUUGGUGGGGUAAUGGCCUACCAAGACUGUGAUCAAUAGCUGAUUUGAGAGGAUGAUCAGCCACAUUGGGACUGAGACACGGCCCAAACUCCUACGGGAGGCAGCAGUGGGGAAUCUUGCACAAUGGAGGAAACUCUGAUGCAGCGAUGCCGCGUGAGUGAAGAAGGCCCUUGGGCUGUAAAGCUCUUUCGUCGGGGAAGAAAAUGACUGUACCCGAAUAAGAAGGUCCGGCUAACUUCGUGCCAGCAGCCGCGGUAAUACGAAGGGACCUAGCGUAGUUCGGAAUUACUGGGCUUAAAGAGUUCGUAGGUGGUUGAAAAAGUUAGUGGUGAAAUCCCAGAGCUUAACUCUGGAACUGCCAUUAAAACUUUUCAGCUAGAGUAUGAUAGAGGAAAGCAGAAUUUCUAGUGUAGAGGUGAAAUUCGUAGAUAUUAGAAAGAAUACCAAUUGCGAAGGCAGCUUUCUGGAUCAUUACUGACACUGAGGAACGAAAGCAUGGGUAGCGAAGAGGAUUAGAUACCCUCGUAGUCCAUGCCGUAAACGAUGUGUGUUAGACGUUGGAAAUUUAUUUUCAGUGUCGCAGGGAAACCGAUAAACACACCGCCUGGGGAGUACGACCGCAAGGUUAAAACUCAAAUGAAUUGACGGGGACCCGCACAAGUAGUGGAGCAUGUGGUUUAAUUCGAAGAUACGCGCAGAACCUUACCAACACUUGACAUGUUCGUCGCGACUCUAAGAGAUUAGAGUUUUCGGUUCGGCCGGACGAAACACAGGUGCUGCAUGGCUGUCGUCAGCUCGUGUCGUGAGAUGUUGGGUUAAGUCCCGCAACGAGCGCAACCCUCACUUUUAGUUGCCAUCAUUAAGUUGGGCACUCUGAAAGAACUGCCAGUGAUAAGCUGGAGGAAGGUGGGGAUGACGUCAAGUCCUCAUGGCCCUUACGUGUUGGGCUACACACGUGCUACAAUGGUAUCUACAACAGGAAGCAAGACUGCGAAGUUAAGCAAAUCCCUAAAAGAUACCUCAGUUCGGAUUGCACUCUGCAACUCGAGUGCAUGAAGCUGGAAUUACUAGUAAUCGUGGAUCAGCGUGCCACGGUGAAUGCGUUCCCGGGUCUUGUACACACCGCCCGUCACACCAUGGGAGUUGGUUCUACCUUAAGGCAAGGUUUCAAACCCUUGACCACGGUAUAGUCAGCGACUGGGGUG
rnacentral:rRNA from 1 species